rnacentral:rRNA from 1 species
CCCUUAGACGUUCUGGGCCGCACGCGCGCUACACUGACCAGUGCAACAAGCAUCCGUCCUUGGCCGACAGGCUCGGGCAAUCUUUGAACGCUGGUCGUGAUGGGGAUAGACUUUUGCAAUUUUUGGUCUUCAACGAGGAAUUCCUAGUAAACGCAAGUCAUCAACUUGCAUUGAUUACGUCCCUGCCCUUUGUACACACCGCCCGUCGCACCUACCGAUUGAAUGGUCCGGUGAAGCCUCCGGAUUGGCGCGCACCUCGGUACCGCCGAGAAGUUGGCUAAACCUUACCAUUUAGAGGAAGGUGAAGUCGUAACA